UGCGGGAUCGUCUAACGGCAGGACACUGCUCUUUGAAAGCAGUAAUUUUGGUUCGAUUCCAAGUCCCGCAG
rnacentral:tRNA from 1 species